rnacentral:rRNA from 1 species
AACGAACGCUGGCGGCAGGCCUAACACAUGCAAGUCGAACGCCCUCUUCGGAGGGAGUGGCAGACGGGUGAGUAACGCGUGGGAACCUACCAUACGGUACGGAAUAACUUCAGGAAACCGGAGCUAAUACCGUAUACGCCCUUCGGGGGAAAGAUUUAUCGCCGUUUGAUGGGCCCGCGUCGGAUUAGCUUGUUGGUGGGGUAAUGGCCUACCAAGGCGACGAUCCGUAGCUGGUUUGAGAAGAUGAUCAGCCACACUGGGACUGAGACACGGCCCAGACUCCUACGGGAGGCAGCAGUGGGGAAUAUUGGACAAUGGGCGCAAGCCUGAUCCAGCCAUGCCGCGUGAGUGACGAAGGCCUUAGGGUUGUAAAGCUCUUUCAGCGGGGAAGAUAAUGACGGUACCCGCAGAAGAAGCCCCGGCUAACUCCGUG